CACAGGUGGGAUUGCGUUUUAAAAUAUUGAAUAGGCAUUAAGUGUGAUUAGGUGGCCAUAGUGCUAGAGUCAUAAGAGGAGAGUUAGAGGAAUAACCAAUGGAAGGAUGAAAUCUAUAGAUAUUGGUUGGAACAUCAAAAGCGACAGCAUCACUCUAUUUUAUGACUGACACUGAAUCACUAAAGUGUGGGGAGCAAACCGGAUUAGAUACCCGGGUAGU
rnacentral:rRNA from 1 species